AUUGAACGCUGGCGGCAGGCCUAACACAUGCAAGUCGAACGAGUGGCGGACGGGUGAGUAAUGUCUGGGAAACUGCCCGAUGGAGGGGGAUAACUACUGGAAACGGUAGCUAAUACCGCAUACCAUCGGAUGUGCCCAGAUGGGAUUAGCUAGUAGGUGGGGUAACGGCUCACCUAGGCGACGCUCCCUAGCUGGUCUGAGAGGAUGACCAGCGAAACGGUAACUGAGAAACGGUCCAGACUCCGACGUGAGGCAGGAGUGGGGAAUAUUGCACAAUGGGCGCAAGCCUGAUGCAGCCAUGCCGGGUGUAUGAAGAAGUCCUGCGGGUUGUAAAGUACUUUCAGCGAGGAGGCGUGACUCGCAGAAGAAGCACCGGCUAACUCCGUGCCAGCAGCCGCGGUAAUC
rnacentral:rRNA from 1 species